rnacentral:ncRNA from 1 species
GUGAGCCGUAUGAUGGGCAACUAUCUCCUGCGGUUCGGAGAGUGGCUAAUCCAAAAAUUAUAAACAAAAGUGCAACCACUAAAAUGUGCAAUCCUAAAAUCAACUCACAUCAUGUGGUAUCAGAGCAUGGUUUUAAUUGUGUUUAUCUUUUCUGGGUUGAUUUUCUACUUUAA